rnacentral:rRNA from 1 species
UACGUAGGGUCCGAGCGUUGUCCGGAAUUAUUGGGCGUAAAGGGCUCGUAGGCGGUUUGUCGCGUCGGGAGUGAAACUCAGGGCUUAAACCCUGAGCCUGCUUCCGAUACGGGCAGACUAGAGGUAUGCAGGGGAGAACGGAAUUCCGUGGGUGUAGCGGUGAAAUGCGCAGAUAAUCAGGAGGAACGACCGGUGGCGAAGGCGGUUCUCUGGGCGAUUGACCUGACGCUGAGGAGCGAAAGUG